rnacentral:rRNA from 1 species
CCUACGGGGGGCAGCAGUGGGGGAUAUUGCAAAAUGGGGGAAACCCUGAUGCAGCGACGCCGCGUGGGUGAAGAAGCGCCUCGGCGCGUAAAGCCCUGUCAGCAGGGAAGAAAAUGACGGUACCUGAAGAAGAAGCCCCGGCUAACUACGUGCCAGCAGCCGCGGUAAUACGUAGGGGGCAAGCGUUAUCCGGAUUUACUGGGUGUAAAGGGGGCGCAGACGGCGAUGCAAGCCAGGAGUGAAAGUCCGGGGCCCAACCCCGAGACUGCUCUUGGAACUGCGUGGCUAGAGUGCAGGAGGGGUAGGCGGAAUUCCUGGUGUAGCGGUGAAAUGCGUAGAUAUCAGGAGGAACACCGGUGGCGAAGGCGGCCUGCUGGACUGCAACUGACGUUGAGGCCCGAAAGCGUGGGGAGCAAACAGGAUUAGAUACCCCUGUAGUC